rnacentral:rRNA from 1 species
UUGGAGGGCAAGUCUGGUGCCAGCAGCCGCGGUAAUUCCAGCUCCAAUAGCGUAUAUUAAAGUUGUUGCAGUUAAAAAGCUCGUAGUUGAAUUUCGGAAUAAGCAGGUCGGUCGUGCCACAGGUAUGUACUGGUCUUGCUGAUUCCUCCCUCUUGACGAGCCGUAAUGCCAUUAAUUUGGUGUUGCGGGGAAUCAGGACUGUUACUUUGAAAAAAUUAGAGUGUUUAAAGCAGGCUCACGCUUGAAUACAUUAGCAUGGAAUAAUGAAAUAGGACGUUCGAUCCUAUUUUGUUGGUUUCUAGGAUUGACGUAAUGAUUAAUAGGGAUAGUUGGG